rnacentral:rRNA from 1 species
CUACGGGAGGCUGCAGUGGGGAAUAUUGCACAAUGGGGGAAACCCUGAUGCAGCGAUGCCGCGUGGAGGAAGAAGGUUUUCGGAUUGUAAACUCCUUUUAUCAGGGACGAUAAUGACGGUACCUGAAGAAAAAGCUCCGGCUAACUACGUGCCAGCAGCCGCGGUAAUACGUAGGGAGCGAGCGUUGUCCGGAAUUACUGGGUGUAAAGGGAGCGCAGGCGGGACAAUAAGUCAGAUGUGAAAACUAUGGGCUCAACCUGUAGAUUGCAUUUGAAACUGUAGUUCUUGAGUGAAGUAGAGGUAAGCGGAAUUCCUAGUGUAGCGGUGAAAUGCGUAGAUAUUAGGAGGAACAUCGGUGGCGAAGGCGGCUUACUGGGCUUUUACUGACGCUGAGGCUCGAAAGCGUGGGGAGCAAACAGGAUUAGAUACCCGCGUAGUC